UGACUCUCCAUGCCUCAAGAGACUGAGU
rnacentral:piRNA from 1 species